GACGAACGCUGGCGGCGUGCUUAACACAUGCAAGUCGAACGGAAAGGCCCUGCUUUUGUGGGGUGCUCGAGUGGCGAACGGGUGAGUAACACGUGAGUAACCUGCCCUUGACUUUGGGAUAACUUCAGGAAACUGGGGCUAAUACCGGAUAGGAGCUCCUGCUGCAUGGUGGGGGUUGGAAAGUUUCGGCGGUUGGGGAUGGACUCGCGGCUUAUCAGCUUGUUGGUGGGGUAGUGGCUUACCAAGGCUUUGACGGGUAGCCGGCCUGAGAGGGUGACCGGCCACAUUGGGACUGAGAUACGGCCCAGACUCCUACGGGAGGCAGCAGUGGGGAAUAAUGCACAAUGGGCGGAAGCCUGAUGCAGCAACGCCGCGUGCGGGAUGACGGCCUUCGGGUUGUAAACCGCUUUCGCCUGUGACGAAGCGUGAGGGACGGUAAUGGGUAAAGAAGCACCGGCUAACUACGUG
rnacentral:rRNA from 1 species